AGAGUUUGAUCCUGGCUCAGAUUGAACGCUGGCGGCAUGCCUAACACAUGCAAGUCGAACGGAAACGAUGCUAGCUUGCUAGCAGGCGUCGAGUGGCGGACGGGUGAGUAAUGUAUAGGGAUCUGCCUAGUAGUGGGGGACAACAUGUGGAAACGCAUGCUAAUACCGCAUACGCUCUACGGAGGAAAGUGGGGGACCUUUCGGGGCCUCAUGCUACUAGAUGAACCUAUAUUGGAUUAGCUUGUUGGUAAGGUAAUGGCUUACCAAGGCGACGAUCCAUAGCUGGUUUGAGAGAAUGAUCAGCCACACUGGGACUGAGACACGGCCCAGACUCCUACGGGAGGCAGCAGUGGGGAAUAUUGCACAAUGGAGGAAACUCUGAUGCAGCAAUGCCGCGUGUGUGAAGAAGGCCUUAGGGUUGUAAAGCACUUUCAGACGUGAGGAAAAGUAAUAAUUUAAUAAAUUAUUGCCUUGACGUUAACGUCAGAAGAAGGACCGGCUAACUCCGUGCCAGCAGCCGCGGUAAUACGGAGGGUCCAAGCGUUAAUCGGAAUUACUGGGCGUAAAGCGCGCGUAGGCGGAUAUUUAAGUCAGAUGUGAAAUCCCUGGGCUCAACCUAGGAACUGCAUUUGAUACUGGAUAUCUAGAGUAUGGUAGAGGUGAGUGGAAUUUCAGGUGUAGCGGUGAAAUGCGUAGAGAUCUGAAGGAACAUCAGUGGCGAAGGCGACUCACUGGGCCAUUACUGACGCUGAGGUGCGAAAGCGUGGGUAGCAAACAGGAUUAGAUACCCUGGUAGUCCACGCCCUAAACGAUGUCAACUAGGUGUAUGGGAGUUUAACUCCUGUGUAUCGAAGCUAACGCGAUAAGUUGACCGCCUGGGGAGUACGGUCGCAAGACUAAAACUCAAAUGAAUUGACGGGGCC
rnacentral:rRNA from 1 species